GCGUGAUAAGUCGCCCUUUAAUUGUGGGCCUGUAUGAAAGGACAAACGAAAGCCCUGCUGUCUCCCCAAAAUAAAUAAAAACUGUCCUCAAGGUGAAGAGACCUUGAUAUAGUCAAAGGACAAGAAGACCCCAUAGAGCUUAUAUUCUUACACACAUAAAAUAAAUAACCGCUAUAUUAUUUUAUGCCAAAUAAAAGAAUUUUACUGGGGCGGUAAAGGAGUAUAAACCUCCAUAUAAAUUGCUAACUUGCUAAAUAAGGCGCACCAGCCCAAUUUAAAUGAUCCAUCACAUGAUCAAAGAAAUUAGCUACCUUGGGGAUAACAGAUUAAUCCCCCUUAAGAGUUCACAUUGACAGGGGGGUUUGACACCUCGAUGUUGGCUUAGGGUAUCCCGGGGGUCAGCAGCAGCCCCCAACGGUAGGUUUGUUCAACCUUUAAAACCCU
rnacentral:rRNA from 1 species